UACGUAGGGUGCAAGCGUUAUCCGGAAUUAUUGGGCGUAAAGCGCGCGCAGGCGGUUUCUUAAGUCUGAUGUGAAAGCCCACGGCUCAACCGUGGAGGGUCAUUGGAAACUGGGGAACUUGAGUGCAGAAGAGAAAAGCGGAAUUCCACGUGUAGCGGUGAAAUGCGUAGAGAUGUGGAGGAACACCAGUGGCGAAGGCGGCUUUUUGGUCUGUAACUGACGCUGAGGCGCGAAAGCGUGGGGAGCAAACAGG
rnacentral:rRNA from 1 species